rnacentral:rRNA from 1 species
UCACAAACGACUCUCGGCAACGGAUAUCUCGGCUCACGCAUCGAUGAAGAACGUAGCACAAUGCGAUACUUGGUGUGAAUUGCAGAAUCCCGUGAACCAUCGAGUUUUUGAACGCAAGUUGCGCCCGAAGCCUUUUGGCCGAGGGCACGUCUGCCUGGGCGUCACGC